UACGUAGGGUGCGAGCGUUAAUCGGAAUUACUGGGCGUAAAGCGUGCGCAGGCGGUUUGCUAAGUCAGGUGUGAAAUCCCCGGGCUUAACCUGGGAACUGCGCUUGUUACUGGCAGGCUGGAGUGUGGCAGAGGGGGGUAGAAUUCCACGUGUAGCAGUGAAAUGCGUAGAGAUGUGGAGGAAUACCGAUGGCGAAGGCAGCCCCCUGGGUUAACACUGACGCUCAUGCACGAAAGCGUGGGGAGCAAACAGG
rnacentral:rRNA from 1 species